rnacentral:rRNA from 1 species
UCUAUGGUCCAAUACCCACGGUUUGUGAUGAGACAAACACUAAGCUGUCGGCAUAUUUUUUAUAUUUAAAAUAACAUCAACAGUCACAGAAAAUAAAAUUUUAUUAUUAAACAAAGGUUCAAUAGCUCCUGUUAAAAGCUAUGAUAAUGCUUUAUUAAAUAAAAAUAAUAUUGUAUUAGAAAAUAAAAAUAAACCUGGUAUAUACCGUUGAAUAAAUAAAUUGAAUAAUAAUACUUAUAUAGGAAGUGGUCUAGAUUUAUCUAAAAGAAUUAAAGAAUAUUUAAAUAAUAAUGAAUUAAAGAGAAAUCCUAGACCUAUACAUGCUGCUUUACUAAAAUAUGGACAUGAGAAUUUUCUAUUGGAGAUAAUAGAAUAUUGUAGAGCAGAUGAGCUUAUAGAAAGAGAACAGUAUUAUUUGGAUUUAUUAAAUCCAGAAUAUAAUGUGUUAAAGUAUGCUUAUUCCUUAUUAGGAUAUAAACAUACACCUGAAACCAUAGCGAAGCUUAAAUUAAAAGAAGUAACGCAAGAGCUUAAAGAUAUUUUAUCUACAGUUCAUUCAGGUAAAGAAGUUAGUCAAGAAACUAGAGAUAAACUAUCUCUUGCAACAACUAACUAUAAAAAACAUAAUACUCUUUCACCUGAAGCUUUAGCUAAUAUUACAGCUAAAACUACAGAACGUGAAGGAGUAGCUGUAACACUUUUAAAUACUCAAACUAAUGAAGAAUUAGAAUUCCCAACUUUAACUAAAGCUGGUGAACAUUUGGGUAUAAAAAGACAAGCUAUACGAAACGCAAUUAAAAGAAAAAGUCUGGUUAAAGGACUUUAUCUUGUUUCAGAAAAAAAGUAGGCAGUUAUCACAUAUAUGUACUAAUUAUAAUAAUAAAAAAAAUUACUUUAACUUCAAGAAUUAAAUACUUGAAGUCAGGAUGCUUUGCGCAUAUAACCUGUUGUCUAAAUGGAUAGUUCAUAGAGAAUAAUAUGAACUGUUCAGGGAGAAAGUUUUAACUUACUCAGUACGUAAGUUAAAAAUCGUGUGUAUGUCAAAAGGGAAACAGCCCAGAACAAGAGUUAAGGUUCCUAAAUUAUUCGUUGAGUGAAAUUAAGAAGGUUUUUAUUAAAGUCGACAAGGAGAUAGGCUUAGAAGCAGCCAUAAUUUUAUGACCUCGUAACAGAGCGCUUGUUAAGUUUUAAAAGCAUCGAAAAUUUAUCGGAUCUAAACAAUAUACCGAAACCUUGUCCAUAAUAAUUUAUAAUAAUAAUUUAUAUUAUAAUUAAAUGGGGUAGCUGAACGUUGAGCUGAAUUAUGAUUUUUAUUUUUUAAAUAAAAUUAUAACAAUUUAACUCAAGUGAUAAUGGUGACAUGAGUAACUAAAAGAAAAUUUUCCACCUAAAGCUUAUGGAUGUAAUUAAGUAACGGCCUCUAAGUUUAUAUUAUCUAAAGAUUUAAACGAUGAGAUAAUCUUUAUUACUAAGGACGACAUUUUAAGUGAAAAAUGUACUGGAAAAAUAGUAAUAUAUUUAUAUACUAAGCGUAUAUAAAUGAAAAGUAACCGUACCUAGAAUCUGAAACAAGUAAGCUAGUAGAGAAUACGAAGGUGUAAAUGAGCUAACAAUCAUAAAGGAACUCGGCAAAUUGACUACCGUAACUUCGGGAUAAGGAGAGCUCAUUAUUCUUGAUUAAUAUCAAGUAAAGAGGAAGAAGCAUGAAAUAGUGUUGUACGACUGUUUAAUUAAAACACAGCACUUUGCUGAAAGAUUAAAAAUCUAAGUAUAGAGUGUGAUGUCUGCCCGGUGCCGGCUGGUUAACAGAUAUAAUUGGAUAUACUAAUAUCUGAUGUAGACGGAAACCCCGGUUAAAGGCGGCCUUAACGUGAGGGUCCUAAGGUAGCGAAAUGCCUUGGCCGUUAAAUGCGGUCUUGCAUGAAUGAUGUAACGAUACAACAGCUGUCUCUAUGAUUGACUCAGUGAAAUUGGAAUAGCUGUGCAGAUACAGUUUACCUCUAGUUAGACGAGAAGACCCUAUGCAGCUUUACUGUCACUAAUUAUAGAGUAUGAUAAACAAUUUUCAGUUUAUAAGGUAAUUGACUAGAUAACAAUGAGAAUCCUUUAUUUUUUUUUCAUAUGAAUGAAUUGAUUUAGGAUUAUGAGAUGUUUUCACAAACGACUCAUUUUAGUAAAUCAACCUAGUUCAGCUUAUUUUUAUAAUAUAAGUACCCUUUGGUGAGGAACUAUCGCUAGGGGACAGUUUAUGUGGGGCACAGACCCUGUAAAGAGUAAACAGGAGUGUCUAAUAAUUUAAAAUUAUUUUGUUUGCGAUUUAAGGUAGUUUAACUAUUUUUAAUCAUAUAAAAUUAUUUAUAUGUACAUUCUAUGCUUUGCCAUAAGUCUGUAUAUAUAUUUAAAAAAAGGUAGGAUUUUCACUAUAUAGAAAUUAGAGAUAAUUAGAAAUAUUAUGUACUUAGUGACUAAUGUUUUUUAACUAUUAAUAAUAGUUAUGUUUUAAAUAUCUAAAAAGCUCAACGGCUUAAUCUUGCCUUACUGUUUGAUUAUCAACAAAUCUUACAGUUGCGUAAGCAGGGCAUAGGAUCACAAGAUGCAACAAGGAAAGAUCUUGGAUUAUUGGAAAAGCUACGCUAGGGAUGUUUGUCCUUUAAUAUUUUAUAAAGGGCUAUGUGUUAGCACUAUGGCUGCUUAUUUCAUAGCAAGCUAAAGUUAAAGUUAAAGCUAAAGCUAAAGCUACCGCUAAGGCUGCUGUGUUAGUAAACAUGCUUGCAGUGUGUGAAUAGUGUGAAACUACACACAAAAAGUGUACUGUUU